rnacentral:lncRNA from 1 species
CCUGCAAUUCUGUCUUAUUCCACAGCUGUAUUCGCAUAGGACUCAGCGAGACAGGCCGCCCAAACAAAGCCACCUCCCUCAGCCUUGGCCCACUGACAAGAGGAAAGAAAGGAGAUUACUACAAGCCCCAGGUUCACGACUGGAGACCAUCAAGUUCUUGAUCAUGGGUGACAAAGAAGGAAAAAAGGGAUCACACACUCAAAUGAUAAUUAACUGUGAACAAACCACUUCAGGAAAGUAAUGUCAAUUGGGAUAUGAGAGGAAGAAUGCCAUGAUUAAAUUCUACAACCAUCAAAUCUUAGCUUUGGAAGAUAUCAGAGAAAUUGGGACAUGAAGGUAGGAAUGCCAUGAUUAAAUUCUGCAACCAUCAAAUCUUAGCCUUGGAAGAUAUCAGAGAAAUUGGGACAUGAAGGUAGGAAUGCCAUGAUUAAAUUCUGCAACCAUCAAAUCUUAGCCUUGGAAGAUAUCAGAGAAAUUGGGACAUGAAGGUAGGAAUGCCAUGAUUAAAUUCUGCAACCAUCAAAUCUUAGCCUUGGAAGAUAUCAGAGAAAUUGGGACAUGAAGGUAGGAAUGCCAUGAUUAAAUUCUGCAACCAUCAAAUCUUAGCCUUGGAAGAUAUCAGAGAAAUUGGGACAUGAAGGUAGGAAUGCCAUGAUUAAAUUCUGCAACCAUCAAAUCUUAGCCUUGGAAGAUAUCAGAGAAAUUGGGACAUGAAGGUAGGAAUGCCAUGAUUAAAUUCUGCAACCAUCACAUCUUAGCUUUGGAAGAUAGCAGAGAAAUUGGGACAUGAAGAUAGGAAUGCCAUGAUUAAAUUCUGCAACCAUCAAAUCUUAGCCUUGGAAGAUAUCAGAGAAAUUGGGACAUGAAGAUAGGAAUGCCAUGAUUAAAUUCUGCAACCAUCAAAUCUUAGCCUUGGAAGAUAUCAGAGAAAUUGGGACACGAAGGUAGGAAUGCCAUGAUUAAAUUCUGCAACCAUCACAUCUUAGCUUUGGAAGAUAGCAGAGAAAUUGGGACAUGAAGAUAGGAAUGCCAUGAUUAAAUUCUGCAACCAUCAAAUCUUAGCUUUGGAAGAUAUCAGAGGAAUCAUCUAUAGUCGAUCAUACCUGAAACAUGAGUCCCUUGGAUAACAUCCCUGAUGAGUGGUUGCCACAUCUCCUCUGGAAGAUAUUUAGGAAUAAAGCCAUUUUUAUAUUUUUGGACUAUUCA